CGAUUCUUCUUCAUCUCUACAUCGAGAAGAACAGAGCACAGACUGAAACCCGAUGGAGUAUUUGAUUGAUUAUCACGAUCCAAGUUUCUCAAGACGUAUCCAAAAAUCAUCUCUACAUCGAGAAGAACAGAGAAGAAAGAAACGAAAGAGAAGAAAGAAGAAAAACCCGUUGCAUAAAUUGAAAUUAGGGUUUCAUCUGGUUGAGAAUUUGAUUAGAGUCGGAUAAUGUUAUUGGGUCGAUGAUUACAGAGAAUUAAAAGGGGAUGUUGUUGAUUUAUCGAUGUGAGGUUAUUCUGAUGAAGAAUUACAAAACCAGGUAAUUUAGGGUUUCUUAUAACAGAGAAGAAAGAAACGAAAGAGAAGAAAGAAGAAUAAAAACCCGUUGCAUAAAUUGAAGUUAGGGUUUCAUCUGGUUGAGAAUUUGAUUGGAGUCGGAUAAUGUUAUUGGGUCGAUGAUUACAGAGAAUUAAAAGGGGCUAUUGUUGAUUUAUCGAUGGGAGGUUAUUCUGAUGAAGAAUUACAAAACCAGCAACUGCCAGACUUCCAGGUUUCCAUGUCUGUGUUGGUAGCGGAGGCGAGAGGCGACUUCCUGAGUAGUUUACUCAGAAAGACAUCGAGUUGAUCCUUAACACCGAAAUAGUGAAGACUGAUCUUGCUUCCAAGACUUUAACAAGUGCAGCUGGAGCAACCUUCAAGUAUGACGUAUUGCUCAUUACAACUGGUUCUGCAGUUAUUAGGUUGCCUGACUUUGGCGUUAAAGGAGCUGAUACCAAGAACAUCUUCUAUUUGAGAGAAGUUGACGAUGCCGACAAACUAUAUGAAGUUAUCAAGUCAAAGACGAACGACAAAGCUGUAAUUGUCGGAGGAGGAUACAUUGGUCUUGAGCUUUCUGCAGUGUUGAAAAUGAACAACAUGGAUGUUACUAUGGUUUACCCUGAGCCAUGGUGCACCACCAGCUAGGUAUUGGUAUUGGAGCUACCAAAACAUGGGGGUUUAAAGAUACGGUGUUCAAUGGAGCCUGAAAACGAGAUUGGAUGUGGGCACCAAGCAGCAACAUCAACAACAAAGAGAGAACACUGAAACUUUGGGAGGUAUUAGGAAUCUGAAAACCUAUUUGAGUAACUCAAAUGCCGAGAGAUAAAGCUGGUGUCUUUAAACUUCCAUCUUUGCUCAAAGUGUCGAUAAAUGUUUCCAAGGGAAUGAAUUAUUUAUAUCAUAAACAAUGAAUUAUUUAUGAAGGAUGCCAAUCUUCUAAUGGAUGAGAAGGAGGUGAAGGAGACCUAAAUGAUAAUAUUUAUUCCGUUUUUGUGUAUCAAGCUAUUGAGGAUGCUGAUUUUGGAGUUGGCAGAGUGCAAGUUCAACUGGAACAUAACAGUGGAUGGAUGCAAGGGUAAAACUUUAAACUAUUUUUUGUUAUGUUCGGUUCGACUUAGUACAGAUUCGUUGAUUCACCUACUUCCCAUUUUGCAUGUUAAGGUCUUAUGGUAUAAGACAAAUGAUCAUCAAACCACACCUGUAGUUUCGAUUGUGUUGGGAAUCACUAAUUGCUUAAAAAGACUAUAAUAUCGUGACAAGUGUCUUUAUAUUUAACGUUAGGUGAUGCUCAAUAUCCAGCGAAAUCGCUUCUGUUCUGUAUCCAUAUUGUGAUGAAAUGUGCAUAUUGCCCCAAUCAUAUUCAGGUCCCUUCCGUUCUGGCUAGUCAUUUAAUCUCAUUUGACGCAAUCCCAGUUGUUUCUUUGGGGUGGGUGUGAUGACAUAAUUACAUUGCAACUCGAAAAUGUGAUGGUAUUUUAUUGGUUUCCGUUGGAAUUAAGCUCUUUCGAUUUCAAUGCUCUCCAGACUGUUGAAAGUUACCAUGUAAUUGCAAUUUACUUGAUGGAGGGGUACCCAUCAAGUUUUCAACAUGAGCAGACAAGUCUGAAAAUUCUCAGAAGUUCAGCCUAGAUGACCGCGUACCUAAUUACUCUCCCUCUCCCUCUAUUCACGGUAAAGUUUUCUUAAGGUUCAAUAUUUCAGAUGUGGUGAUUAAGUUCUCUUAAAUCCUAAUACACCUCUUGGAGGAGCAUAAAAAUUAUCAUAAACUUUUUGAUUGGGGUAUUCAGUUCUGCUUAAAUCCUAAUGCAGUGCUUAGACCAACAUAGACUUAAUGUACAAAUAGGUAAGAAUUAAGACUCAUAUGCCAGUUUUACUACCCAACAAUCUCUUUAUAUUGCAGAUAAAAUUACACUUUGAAGUAUAUAUAUAUAUAUAUAUAUAUAUUUGGAGAAUGAUUAUUGGUGAGUAUUUCCGUUCGAAUUUGAUCUUUUGGAACUAUCAGGAUUUAGUAAGUGACAAAAUCAAAGGUAAUUUACAUGGUAGUCUUUUAGAAAGGAGUGUGCAGGUGUGUUUAUGUGUGGGGAGCAUUUACAUGGUAGGCUUUCAGAAGUUGGUUUGUACAUGUUUUGAUUGAUGCACAAUCGUUCUCUUGCAAGAUAUAAUUCGAUAUACCCUGUACUUUCACCUCAAGCCUUACUCCAGGAGCAUUGAUUGAGUAUGCAAUGCGUCUGCAAUUGCCAAGUGAACCUAAUUUACUUUUCUCCUAAGUAGGAUUCUAAAGCUUAAAUUUUAGUCGCGGAUUGGUUAGCCGAUGAAAGGAUGCAAUUAGUUACAAAAUGAUUAGCCGGGGUGAACUCCUGGGAAAGCUUUCCUGCGCCAGAUGAUGAGUAGCUUCACAUUUUUCGUGUAUUUCCUGCUAAUGUCAUCAUGCGUGUUUCGACAUAAUGCUUGCUUUGGUAACUCAUCUUAUUCGAUACGAAAUAUAUAGCAAAAUUGUUGUGGCAUGAAUUGUCUUCAUGAUAGCGUAGUGGUGAACCACUAAGUAUGAAAUCGAGCUGUUGUCUUAGCUCAUCUGGUAGAGCACAUGGUUAUCAGCCAUGUAGUUGUGGGUUCGAAUCCCACAGAUGGCGUAAUAAUUUAAGUUGUCAAUGCCAUAUUAUAUAUCCAUGCAAUACGUAAUCCAAGGUACU